rnacentral:rRNA from 1 species
CCUACGGGAGGCAGCAGUGGGGAAUAUUGGACAAUGGGCGAAAGCCUGAUCCAGCAAUGCCGCGUGAGUGAUGAAGGCCUUCGGGUCGUAAAGCUCUUUUACCAGGGAUGAUAAUGACAGUACCUGGAGAAUAAGCUCCGGCUAACUCCGUGCCAGCAGCCGCGGUAAUACGGAGGGAGCUAGCGUUGUUCGGAAUUACUGGGCGUAAAGAGUACGUAGGCGGUUAUUCAAGUCAGAGGUGAAAGCCCGGGGCUCAACCCCGGAACUGCCUUUGAAACUAGAUAACUAGAGUCUUGGAGAGGUUAGUGGAAUUCCGAGUGUAGAGGUGAAAUUCGUAGAUAUUCGGAAGAACACCAGUGGCGAAGGCGACUAACUGGACAAGUACUGACGCUGAGGUACGAAAGCGUGGGGAGCAAACAGGAUUAGAUACCCUGGUAGUCCACGCCGUAAACGAUGAUAACUAGUUGUUCGGUCACUUGGUGACUGAGUGACGCAGCUAACGCAUUAAGUUAUCCGCCUGGGGAGUACGGUCGCAAGAUUAAAACUCAAAGAUAGUACGGACGNGUAAGAGUAGUUCGACGAGACGACGAGGAGGAGGNG